AAGUCGUAACAAGGUCUCCGUAGGUGAACCUGCGGAGGGAUCAUUACCAGAGAUGGUGGGCCCUCGCGCCCCCGUCCCCAACCCUUUGCUGACACAACCUCUUUGCCUCGGGGGCAGAGCGGCCGCCGCCGCCCCCGGAGGACCACCAAACUCUGUCUCUGUACGUCGGAGUCUUAAUGAAAUAAAUCAAAACUUUUAACAACGGAUCUCUUGGUUCUG
rnacentral:misc_RNA from 1 species